GUUGAUCGCGUCGGAAGUGUAAUCUUGGGGCUUAACCCUGAGCGUGCUUUCGAUACGGGUUGACUUGAGGAAGGUAGGGGAGAAUGGAAUUCCUGGUGGAGCGGUGGAAUGCGCAGAUAUCAGGAGGAACACCAGUGGCGAAGGCGGUUCUCUGGGCCUUUCCUGACGCUGAGGAGCGAAAGCGUGGGGAGCGAACAGGCUUAGAUACCCUGGUAGUCCACGCUGUAAACGGUGGGUACUAGGUGUGGGGUCCAUUCCACGGGUUCCGUGCCGUAGCUAACGCUUUAAGUACCCCGCCUGGGGAGUACGGCCGCAAGGCUAAAACUCAAAGGAAUUGACGGGGCCCCGCACAAGCGGCGGAGCAUGCGGAUUAAUUCGAUGCAACGCGUAGAACCUUACCUGGGUUUGACAUGGAUCGGGAGCGCUCAGAGAUGGGUGUGCCUCUUUUGGGGUCGGUUCACAGGUGGUGCAUGGCUGUCGUCAGCUCGUGUCGUGAGAUGUUGGGUUAAGUCCCGCAACGAGCGCAACCCUUGUUCACUGUUGCCAGCACGUUAUGGUGGGGACUCAGUGGAGACCGCCGGGGUCAACUCGGAGGAAGGUGGGGAUGACGUCAAGUCAUCAUGCCCCUUAUGUCCAGGGCUUCACGCAUGCUACAAUGGCUGGUACAGAGAGUGGCGAGCCUGUGAGGGUGAGCGAAUCUCGGAAAGCCGGUCUCAGUUCGGAUUGGGGUCUGCAACUCGACCUCAUGAAGUCGGAGUCGCUAGUAAUCGCAGAUCAGCAACGCUGCGGUGAAUACGUUCCCGGGGCUUGCACA
rnacentral:rRNA from 1 species